rnacentral:rRNA from 1 species
CACGUAGGGUGCGAGCGUUGUCCGGAAUUAUUGGGCGUAAAGAGCUCGUAGGCGGUGUGUCGCGUCGGCCGUGAAAACCUGCAGCUUAACUGUGGGCUUGCUUUCGAUACGGGCAGACUUGAGGCAUGCAGGGGAGAACGGAAUUCCUGGUGUAGCGGUGAAAUGCGCAGAUAUCAGGAGGAACACCGGUGGCGAAGGCGGUUCUCUGGGCAUGUUCUGACGCUGAGGAGCGAAAGUGUGGGGAGCGAACAGG